GUUGAUCCUUAAAUAGUGCUCAGCUGAGGCUGAACUUUAUGCAGCUUCCAUUUGGCUCUGGACACUUGAGCAACUGAGUGUCUGACACAUGUACAGAGCCCACAAGCUGCCAUGAGCUAUUUCUACAUGUAACUAGGUGACUACGCCUUGCAGCUUCCCCUACGUUAUAGGCUUUUUAACUUCAUUAUGUGAUCAGGCAUGUUGCCAACUUUGAAGGCCAUUCCACACAUCUGAGUGAUCUGGCUUGCCGUCCAGGUGAUUUAAGUGCCAAUCUUGAUAAAGGUCCGCAUAAGGACCGAAACGUCGAUGAAAUACGGCAUCAACAGUGAACCCGAAUAAAAAUAUACUGAAUUUACAAGUGACUUCAGAGACUAAUUUCUGGGCGUGAGUGCACCUUCCACCUAGGUGGUUGUUGUGGUAUAUUGGUGGCCUCUCAGGUCAUUAGGAGCACCCGCCGUCGUUAUUACUUUUGAUGAGAGUGCAGGAUCU